rnacentral:tRNA from 2 species
GCCGAAGUGGCGGAAUUGGUAGACGCGCUAGGUUCAGGGUCUAGUGGGGUUAUCCCCGUGGAGGUUCAAAUCCUCUCUUCGGCACCA